UAGGGAAUCUUCCGCAAUGGACGCAAGUCUGACGGAGCAACGCCGCGUGAGUGAAGAAGGAUUUCGGUUCGUAAAACUCUGUUGUUAGAGAAGAACAGCGCAUAGAGUAACUGUUAUGCGUGUGACGGUAUCUAACCAGAAAGCCACGGCUAACUACGUGCCAGCAGCCGCGGUAAUACGUAGGUGGCAAGCGUUGUCCGGAUUCAUUGGGCGUAAAGCGAGCGCAGGCGGUCAAUUAAGUCUGAUGUGAAAGCCCCCGGCUCAACCAGGGAGGGUCAUUGGAAACUGGUUGACUUGAGUGCAGCAGAGGAGAGUGGAAUUCCAUGUGUAGCAGUGAAAUGCGUAGAUAUAUGGAGGAACACCAGUGGCGAAGGCGACGCUCUGGACUGUAACUGACGCUGAGGCUCGAAAGCGUGGGUAGCAAACAGG
rnacentral:rRNA from 1 species